rnacentral:rRNA from 1 species
ACGGGGCGCAGCAGGCGCGAAAACUUCACACUGGAGGCAACUCCGAUGAGGGAAUUCCUAGUGCUAGCACAUUAGUGUUAGCUUUUCUUAAGCGUAGAUAACUUAAGGAAUAAGGGCUGGGUAAGACGGGUGCCAGCCGCCGCGGUAAUACCCGCAGCCCAAGUGGUGGUCGAUUUUAUUGAGUCUAAAACGUUCGUAGCCGGUUUGGUAAAUCCUUGGGUAAAUCGAGAGGCUUAACUUUUCGAAUUCCGAGGAGACUGCCAAACUUGGGACCGGGAGAGGCGAGAGGUACUUCUGGGGUAGGGGUAAAAUCCUGUAAUCCUAGAAGGACCACCGGUGGCGAAGGCGUCUCGCUAGAACGGAUCCGACGGUGAGGGACGAAGCUCUGGGUCGCAAACGGGAUUAGAUACCCCGGUAGUCCAGGGUGUAAACGCUGCAGACUUGGGUGUUGGGGGCCCUACGGGGGCGUUCAGUGCCGGAGAGAAAUUUGUUAAGUCUGCUAACUUGGGGAGUACGUCCGCAACGGGUUGAAACUCAAAGGAAUUGGCGGGGGGAGCCC